UGUGUGUGUGUGUGUGUGUAUGUAUCUAUAUAUAUAAAUAUGUAUAUAUAUAGAUACAUACACACACACACAAACACA